AUGGCGGAUCAGCUCACCGACGACCAGAUCGCCGAGUUCAAGGAGGCCUUCAGCCUCUUCGACAAGGACGGAGAUGGUUGCAUCACCACCAAGGAGCUGGGAACAGUCAUGCGUUCGCUGGGGCAGAACCCAACGGAGGCUGAGCUCCAGGACAUGAUCAAUGAAGUCGACGCUGAUGGCAAUGGCACCAUUGACUUCCCAGAGUUCCUCAACCUGAUGGCCCGCAAGAUGAAGGACACCGACUCAGAGGAGGAGCUCAAGGAGGCCUUCAGGGUGUUCGACAAGGACCAAAACGGCUUCAUCUCUGCUGCUGAGCUCCGCCACGUCAUGACGAACCUCGGCGAGAAGCUCACCGACGAGGAGGUGGACGAGAUGAUCCGUGAAGCCGACGUCGACGGUGAUGGCCAGAUCAACUAUGAGGAGUUUGUCAAGGUCAUGAUGGCCAAAUGA
rnacentral:rRNA from 1 species